CGGACGGGUGAGUAAUGUCUGGGAAACUGCCUGAUGGAGGGGGAUAACUGCUGGAAACGGUAGCUAAUACCGCAUAACGUCGCAAGACCAAAGAGGGGGACCUUCGGGCCCUCUUGCCAUCGGAUGUGCCCAGAUGGGAUUAGCUAGUAGGUGGGGUAACGGCUCACCUAGGCGACGAUCCCUAGCUGGUCUGAGAGGAUGACCAGCCACACUGGAACUGAGACACGGUCCAG
rnacentral:rRNA from 1 species